CGGAUCUCUUGGUUCUGGCAUCGAUGAAGAACGCAGCGAAAUGCGAUAAGUAAUGUGAAUUGCAGAAUUCAGUGAAUCAUCGAAUCUUUGAACGCACAUUGCGCCCGGCAGUAAUCUGCCGGGCAUGCCUGUCCGAGCGUCAUUUCAC
rnacentral:rRNA from 1 species